rnacentral:lncRNA from 1 species
CCUGCAUCUCUCUAUUGCUCGACCUCUAAGCCUUCAUCUCUCGUCUCUCUAUCUCUCACUUUCAUCAUCUCAUCGCAUCCCCUUGUGAGUAACUUCCUUUUUCUUUUUUCUCUUUUUUGUUUAUGUUUUCAUUUUUCGAUUUUCUACUAUUUUUUGUUGUUGGUUUUUGUUUGAAGCUUUGAACCUCGCUAUUUUUAUUGAUUUUUCCACCAUUUUUAGUGUUAAUAGUGUUGAUUUUACCCUGUUCAUGUUCUUAAGUAGUGAACUAUUUAUGUUCUUUAAUUUCUGUUUUUGUUUUGGAAGAAUAGUGUUACUGUUUAUGUUAUUUUGAUUUAGUCUAUGUUAUUCUUUUUAUUUUGUUUAUGUUUAAGCACUUUUUAUUUUGUUAAUUAAUGAGUAUGGUUUCUCUAUUUUUUCAGGUACUCAAGUGGGUCAUUCUCUUGAUGCAACAACUUAAGGAAUACAAACAUUCAGNNNNNNNNUUCCUAGUUGGGACUGCAAUUAACUAAUUUUAACUGUGAUCUGUGAAUGUAUCAAUAUUACUAAACUCUAAUGGUUGUGGUUGAUUAAGCAGUAACAAGACAAAAAAUAGUACUUAUACAAA